rnacentral:rRNA from 1 species
UACGUAGGGGGCAAGCGUUGUCCGGAUUCAUUGGGCGUAAAGAGCGUGUAGGCGGCCAGGUAGGUCGGUUGUGAAAACUGGAGGCUCAACCUUCAGAGGUCGACCGAAACCAUCUGGCUAGAGUCCGGGAGAGGAGAGUGGAAUUCCUGGUGUAGCGGUGAAAUGCGCAGAUAUCAGGAAGAACACCCGUGGCGAAAGCGGCUCUCUGGAACGGUACUGACGCUGAGAAGCGAAAGCGUGGGGAGCGAACAGG